rnacentral:misc_RNA from 1 species
CCUUUCUACGGAGAAUUCAGUCCAAUGUUUUUUGGACAGUGUGUGCCACACGAUGGCGUGACAGUCAUGCCUUAUAGUGUGGAUGCUGGUGUGGAAGAGAUCAAUGGCUUGGAUGGGAUUCGUCCCGUCCGGGAGUGGUAUGGGUAUGCUUUUGGGCUCCCGGACCGCCACCCCACAACGUCUGUUGUGGUGCGGUUCGAUGCCCAUGCGUGGUGGCCGGUCCUGGGUGGCUGGUCGGAUCGUGUGGCGCGUGGUGGUUUGAGAACUGGAUAGUGGACGCGAGCAAGAGAAACUGAAAGAACGUUUCUUUUUGCUUAUCGCGAUUUCGCCAAACUCUUCAAUUGAGUUUGGUUUCGAGAUCGAUCGUUUUGUGAUCAUUUUAGUGUUAAGAUUUGUCGUCUGGCGAUCUUGCUAUCAGGAAACCCGCGGGUGGGGCAAUGACAAUUUGUUUUGCUGUUG